UACGUAGGGUGCGAGCGUUGUCCGGAAUUAUUGGGCGUAAAGGGCUCGUAGGCGGUCUGUUGCGUCGGGAGUGAAAACUCAGGGCUUAACCCUGAGCCUGCUUCCGAUACGGGCAGACUAGAGGUAUGCAGGGGAGAACGGAAUUCCUGGUGUAGCGGUGAAAUGCGCAGAUAUCAGGAGGAACACCGGUGGCGAAGGCGGCCCGCUGGGCAGUGACUGACGCUGAGGCGCGACAGCGUGGGGAGCAAACAGG
rnacentral:rRNA from 1 species